rnacentral:rRNA from 1 species
GACGAACGCUGGCGGCGUGCUUAAUACAUGCAAGUCGAACGGAGUUAAGGGUUUCGGCCUUUAACUUAGUGGCGAACGGGUGAGUAACGCGUGAAUAACCUGACUCAAAGAGGGGGAUAACAACGGGAAACUGUUGCUAAUACCGCAUGAGACCACAACACCGCAUGAUGAAGGGGUCAAAGAUUUAUCGCUUUGAGAGGGGUUCGCGUCCCAUUAGGUAGUUGGAGGGGUAACGGCCCACCAAGCCAACGAUGGGUAGCCGAGCUGAGAGGCUGAUCGGCCACACUGGAACUGAGACACGGUCCAGACUCCUACGGGAGGCAGCAGUAGGGAAUAUUGGGGCAAUGGGCGCAAGCCUGACCCAGCAACGCCGCGUGAGGGAAGAAGGUUUUCGGAUUGUAAACCUCUGUCCUAUGUGACGAAGGAAGUGACGGUAGCAUAGGAGGAAGCCCCGGNUAACUACGUG